AGGAUUAGCUAGUAGGUGAGGUAAUGGCUCACCUAGGCGACGAUCCUUAGCUGGUUUGAGAGAAUGACCAGCCACACUGGGACUGAGACACGGCCCAGACUCCUACGGGAGGCAGCAGUGGGGAAUAUUGGACAAUGGGCGCAAGCCUGAUCCAGCCAUGCCGCGUGAGUGACGAAGGCCUUAGGGUUGUAAAGCUCUUUUGGCGGGGACGAUAAUGACGGUACCCGCAGAAUAAGCCCCGGCUAACUUCGUGCCAGCAGCCGCGGUAAUACGAAGGGGGCUAGCGUUGUUCGGAAUUACUGGGCGUAAAGCGCACGUAGGCGGACAUUUAAGUCAGGGGUGAAAUCCCGGGGCUCAACCUCGGAACUGCCUUUGAUACUGGGUGUCUCGAGUCCGGAAGAGGUGAGUGGAAUUCCUAGUGUA
rnacentral:rRNA from 1 species